UUGUAUACUGCAUGUGAAAGAGCAUUGCGUCAAGGGGGAAAAACAAACAAACAUACAAACAAACAAAAAACCCUCCAACAUAUAUAUAUAUAUAUAUAAAUAUUUAAUCCCAUAUUUAAAUUACAGGCACGUGCAGGCUUUAACGGUGCAUUGCACGGAACCGCAGUGAGUAUUUGAACCGCCGUCAGUGCCUUACCUUUUUGUAGGCGUCCAGCAAGAAACUAUUCCAGAUGGAGCGGAGCCCCGCCGUCGUCAACAUGCGACGCCACUCUCCCGAGCCGGCGGACCUGGAGCAACUCAAAAGCGAAACAAUGCGCUUCACGAGCACCAUGGAGUCGUACAGCGCCAGGAAGAGACAGUUUGAAAAGAAACCAGGGAACAAGGGAGUGGCAACAUCCUAUUCAAAGAUGUCUCACAGCAACUAUGACGUCUACCAUCAUCCAUCACAAUGAAACUGCAGGUGCACGCAGUUGUGCAAGAAUCCAUCAAGCCCAAUGCCUUUGGAAAAAAAAAAAAAAAAAGUUACCUGAGACCACCGUCUCCUGCGGUUUCAACAAUUGUUACAGGAGAGAGUCUCGCACACCGGUCAAUGAUCCACUGCAGAGGUGGAAUUGUUACCGUAAAGCUCACAAAUUCAGAGUAUGAUAGGGAGCAAAAGGUUCUCUGCCACCAAUAGCCUGUCGCAGAUUACAACAACUAAGGCCUUGUGAUCUACUCAGGUGUUGCAAACUCAACGCAGCAGAGGCCAAGGAUACUGCCCGAUCAAGAUUGGAGGGACACGAGCCAGUGCUGGAAUACCGGACAAACCUCUGAGAAUGACAUAAUUGAACCAUGG